AUUGAACGCUGGCGGCAGGCCUAACACAUGCAAGUCGAACGAGUGGCGGACGGGUGAGUAAUGUCUGGGAAACUGCCUGCUGGAGGGGGAUAACUACUGGAAACGGUAGCUAAUACCGCAUACCAUCGGAUGUGCCCAGAUGGGAUUAGCUAGUAGGUGGGGUAACGGCUCACCAAGGCGACGAUCCCUAGCUGGUCUGAGAGGAGGACCAGCCACACUGGAACUGAGACACGGUCCAGACUCCUACGGGAGGCAGCAGUGGGGAAUAUUGCACAAUGGGCGCAAGCCUGAUGCAGCAAUGCCGCGUGUAUGAAGAAGGCCUUCGGGUUGUAAAGUACUUUCAGCGGGGAGGCGUUACCCGCAGAAGAAGCACCGGCUAACUCCGUGCCAGCAGCCGCGGUAAUAC
rnacentral:rRNA from 1 species